CUCAGAUUGAACGCUGGCGGCAUGCCUUACACAUGCAAGUCGAACGGUAACAGGUCUUCGGAUGCUGACGAGUGGCGAACGGGUGAGUAAUACAUCGGAACGUGCCCGAUCGUGGGGGAUAACGGAGCGAAAGCUUUGCUAAUACCGCAUACGAUCUACGGAUGAAAGCAGGGGACCGCAAGGCCUUGCGCGGACGGAGCGGCCGAUGGCAGAUUAGGUAGUUGGUGGGAUAAAAGCUUACCAAGCCGACGAUCUGUAGCUGGUCUGAGAGGACGACCAGCCACACUGGGACUGAGACACGGCCCAGACUCCUACGGGAGGCAGCAGUGGGGAAUUUUGGACAAUGGGCGAAAGCCUGAUCCAGCCAUGCCGCGUGCAGGAUGAAGGCCUUCGGGUUGUAAACUGCUUUUGUACGGAACGAAAAGACUCCUUCUAAUAAAGGGGGUCCAUGACGGUACCGUAAGAAUAAGCACCGGCUAACUACGUGCCAGCAGCCGCGGUAAUACGUAGGGUGCAAGCGUUAAUCGGAAUUACUGGGCGUAAAGCGUGCGCAGGCGGUUAUAUAAGACAGAUGUGAAAUCCCCGGGCUCAACCUGGGAACUGCAUUUGUGACUGUAUAGCUAGAGUACGGUAGAGGGGG
rnacentral:rRNA from 1 species